GGUUUCUUAAAGCUCUUAUCAUAUAUAUAAUUGAAUUUAAUCUGGUUGUAAGCGUUUCACAAUGUACUGACCAGUUCAAAUGCUUAUCGAUAUAUACUCCGAGUAGUUUAGUUUGGGAGCCUAUCUGAACUGUUCCAUUAUCAAAAGUUAUAUUGUCCGGAACUUUCAAGUUAGAACGACUACUCAAAAAUAUUACAACACUUGUUUUGUUCAAGUUUAGCCGCAAGCCGCAGUCAUCACACCAGUUCUCGAUCAUAGACAUAGAUGUUGUUAAAUUGGUCAUCACUCUUUCAAUAACUUUGGAAGAUACUAUAAUGUUGGUAUCGUCAGCAUAAAGAUAAGUAUCGACAACUUCUUCGGCUGUCAGUUUGAGCUGUAGUGGCUGACUUUCUUCUUGUGGUUGAAAAAUAUUAGUGAAACCAUGUUGUUUAGUAGUGAGAACAUUGAACUUCCUGAAGAAUUUCAGAAUCCUAUUUGACAGAAUUUUCUCAAAAAUUUUAGCGAAUGAGGAAGGCAUGACAAUUGAUUUCUUCAGAGCGUCAGGAAAUAUGCCGGAUCGGAAAGCAGAAUUGAUCAGAAAACAAACUGGCUUCACUAUAUGUAUGAAAUGGCGCUUGAUCAAUGUCAUCGGAACACCAUCAUAUCCAAAAGAGCGUUUAUUAUUCAUCAUUUUGACAACAGAAAAAAUCUCACUCUCUGGGACUUCGAACAAACAAAAUGAGUUCAAUACUGUAGAUUGUUUAUUACAGUCAGUGGUAGGGCAGGCGUUAAAUCCAUGAUUUGGGUUUGAUAUAUUAAUAAAGAAGUCAUUAAAUCUGUUUGCUAAAAGAAA